GACGAACGCUGGCGGCGUGCUUAACACAUGCAAGUCGAACGGAAAGGCCCUGCUUUUGUGGGGUGCUCGAGUGGCGAACGGGUGAGUAACACGUGAGUAACCUGCCCUUGACUUUGGGGUAACUUCAGGAAACUGGGGCUAAUACCGGAUAGGAGCUCCUGCUGCAUGGUGGGGGUUGGAAAGUUUCGGCGGUUGGGGAUGGACUCGCGGCUUAUCAGCUUGUUGGUGGGGUAGUGGCUUACCAGGGCUUUGACGGGUAGCCGGCCUGAGAGGGUGACCGGCCACAUUGGUACUGAGAUACGGAGCAGACUCCUACGGUAGGCAGCAGUGGGGAAUAUUGCACAAUGGGCGGAAGCCUGAUGCAGCAACGCCGCGUGCGGGAUGACGGCCUUCGGGUUGUAAACCGCUUUCGCCGGUGACGAAGAGUGAGUGACGGUAAUGGGUAAAGAAGCACCGGCUAACUACGUG
rnacentral:rRNA from 1 species